rnacentral:rRNA from 1 species
UACGUAGGGGGCUAGCGUUGUCCGGAAUCAUUGGGCGUAAAGCGCGCGUAGGCGGCUACCUAAGUCGGAUGUGAAAGCCCCUGGCUCAACUGGGGAAGUGCACCCGAAACUGGAUAGCUUGAGUGCGAAAGAGGGUCGCGGAAUUCCCGGUGUAGAGGUGAAAUUCGUAGAUAUCGGGAGGAACACCGGUGGCGAAGGCGGCGACCUGGGUCGACACUGACGCUGAGGCGCGAAAGCGUGGGGAGCAAACAGG